rnacentral:rRNA from 1 species
UAGGGAAUCUUCGGCAAUGGGGGGAACCCUGACCGAGCAACGCCGCGUGAGUGAAGAAGGUUUUCGGAUCGUAAAGCUCUGUUGUUAAGGAAGAACGAGUGUGAGAAUGGAAAGUUCAUGCUGUGACGGUACUUAACCAGAAAGGGACGGCUAACUACGUGCCAGCAGCCGCGGUAAUACGUAGGUCCCGAGCGUUGUCCGGAUUUAUUGGGCGUAAAGCGAGCGCAGGCGGUUAGAAAAGUCUGAAGUGAAAGGCAGUGGCUCAACCAUUGUAGGCUUUGGCAACUGUUUAACUUGAGUGCAGAAGGGGAGAGUGGAAUUCCAUGUGUAGCGGUGAAAUGCGUAGAUAUAUGGAGGAACACCGGUGGCGAAAGCGGCUCUCUGGUCUGUAACUGACGCUGAGGCUCGAAAGCGUGGGGAGCGAACAGGA